GGCACGACACCGGAGAGGGAGCCUGAGAAACGGCUACGMCAUCCAWCGGAUGGCGGCACGCGCCGCAAAUUACCAAUCCCGACACGGGGAGGUAGUGACAAUAAAUAACAAUACGGGGUUCUUUAGGAUCUCGUAAUUGGAAUGAGUACAAUUUAAAUCUCUUAACGAGGAACAAUUGGAGGGCAAGUCUGGUGCCAGCAGCCGCGGUAAUUCCAGCUCCAAUAGCGUAUAUUAAAGCUGUUGCAGUUAAAAAGCUCGUAGUUGAAUUUCGGGGUUAGUAGGUUGGUCAUGCCUCUGGUAUGUACUGAUCUCACUGAUUCCUCCUUCUCCUGAUGAAACCUUAAUGCCAUUAAUUUGGGUGUUUUGGGGAAUUUGGACUGUUGCUUUGAAAAAAWUUAGAGUGUUUAAAGCAAGCUAANGCUUGAAUACAUUACCAUGGAAAWAAUGAAAUAGGACGUUCGAUCCUAAUUUUUGUUGGNUUNCUACGAUUGACGUAAUGGAUUAAUAGGGAUAAUUGGGGGCGUUUAUUAUUCGACUUGUCCAAGUGAAAUUUCUUGGAU
rnacentral:rRNA from 1 species